CGAGAUUGUCGGCCAUAUUGCAUGCUAGAUAAACAUUUAAACUUCAAAUUUUUUGAGGAUGGGCUCACAAAAUCAGUUAAACGACGUCAGUUAGCUUUUGCAAUGAUUAGUUCAUGUUUGAAUUACUUCAAAUGUGUUGGACAAACACUUGAUGGUGAAGCAGCAUGGUGCAUAGGCAGAUACUGGUAGCUCAUCCUCCAUGCUACAGGUUCUGAGCUCAGGCUGUUUCAGGAAUCUUCAGUUCAUUGCAUUAGUGCUGUUACUGUGGUUCUGUCUAGUACAGUAUCAAAUGUAACAGUUGCUAAUAUAAUUCUUGAUGUUUGUGUUAUGUUUUGGCUAGUUAGGUCUUACAAUUGAGUAAUCAGCAGUAAGCGUGGUAAAACUUACAUAAGGACCUGCACCGUUUCAAAUGUUCUCUUCGAUGAAGAAUGUCGGCGGAAUCGUGGGGUCGAAAUUCAGUUUUGAGGAAUAAGUAACCAACGUUUCGUGGCAGACAAGUUUGUUGGGUUGUUAUUGGAGAAUCACCAUGUAACACCUUCGUAUUUUGAUCUUAGUUGGCUGUGCAUUACCAGGACUAUUAUACUGUUGCACAAUUCUGCAAUUGACAUGCAAGCUAAACUUCGUUUGACGAUGCUUUUGAUGGUUAAGCUGACCUAUUUGAACUGGAGCCUGAAAGGAGUUCUUUGGAUUUGGAGGUGAUAUUAAUGAAGAAAUAACGAUGACAAGAACCUAUGGUACGAGCUGUAUUUGAGUUUUCCCGAGAGUCAGAGUGUUUUCCCGAGGCUAUUUAAACUGUUAUUUCUGGCAAGUCAAUUGCGUUAUGUGACCCGCGUUUCGAAAAGAGCGAAGAUGUAUGCACCUUUGAUCCUAUCAUUUACUUUGACCACUACAACGUAACGACAAACGUUAGGCUGAAUAAGCGCAUAUAUGAGGUAGCCCGUUUUAUUCGAAAGGAAUUCCAACACCGAGUUCUUUUCUUUACGCAUGGAACCACUCGCAGUGGCCUUAAAUGGAGCGCUUCCGUAGCUAGUGGCCCGUCAUUGAAAGAAUGUGGAUUUCUUGUGACGAGCCAUAGAUACGGAGCCCAUUUUAAAUUACACUGUUCAGCACAUGAAAGUUGAGUUUAGUUUCUGCUGUAAUGUUUACCUGAUGUUGGUCUAAUUUCCUUAAUGCAAAUUGUAAAUGUAAUAAGAUUGUGAUAA